ACUCCUACGGGAGGCAGCAGUGAGGAAUAUUGGACAAUGGGGGCAACCCUGAUCCAGCCAUCCCGCGUGUAGGAAGACGGCCUUAUGGGUUGUAAACUACUUUUAUACAGGAAGAAACGUACCCUCGUGAGGGUGCCUGACGGUACUGUAGGAAUAAGCACCGGCUAACUCCGUGCCAGCAGCCGCGGUAAUACGGAGGGUGCGAGCGUUAUCCGGAUUUAUUGGGUUUAAAGGGUCCGUAGGCGGGUUAAUAAGUCAGUGGUGAAAUCCCAUCGCUUAACGAUGGAACUGCCAUUGAUACUGUUAGUCUUGAAUGAGGGUGCAGUGGUUGGAAUGUGUAGUGUAGCGGUGAAAUGCAUAGAUAUUACACAGAACACCGAUUGCGAAGGCAGAUCACUAACCCUAAAUUGACGCUGAGGGACGAAAGCGUGGGGGAGCGAACAGGAUUAGAUACCCUGUAGACUGUC
rnacentral:rRNA from 1 species